rnacentral:rRNA from 1 species
CCUACGGGAGGCAGCAGUGGGGAAUUUUGGACAAUGGGCGCAAGCCUGAUCCAGCCAUGCCGCGUGCAGGAUGAAGGCCUUCGGGUUGUAAACUGCUUUUGUACGGAACGAAAAGACUCUGGUUAAUACCUGGGGUCCAUGACGGUACCGUAAGAAUAAGCACCGGCUAACUACGUGCCAGCAGCCGCGGUAAUACGUAGGGUGCGAGCGUUAAUCGGAAUUACUGGGCGUAAAGCGUGCGCAGGCGGUUAUGUAAGACAGAUGUGAAAUCCCCGGGCUCAACCUGGGAACUGCAUUUGUGACUGCAUAGCUAGAGUACGGCAGAGGGGGAUGGAAUUCCGCGUGUAGCAGUGAAAUGCGUAGAUAUGCGGAGGAACACCGAUGGCGAAGGCAAUCCCCGUGGGCCUGUACUGACGCUCAUGCACGAAAGCGUGGGGAGCAAACAGGAUUAGAUACCCUGGUAGUCCACGCCCUAAACGAUGUCAACUGGUUGUUGGGUCUUCACUGACUCAGUAACGAAGCUAACGCGUGAAGUUGACCGCCUGGGGAGUCGGCCGCAGGUUGAACUCGAAGGAUUGACGGNNGAGAGNGCGACGGACGACGACGAGGGAGGAGG